UACGGAGGGUGCGAGCGUUGUUCGGAAUCACUGGGCGUAAAGGGCGUGUAGGCGGUCCGCUAAGUCGGAUGUGAAAGCCCUCGGCUUAACCGAGGAAGUGCAUUCGAAACUGACAGUCUUGAGUAUGGAAGAGGGUCGCGGAAUUCCCGGUGUAGAGGUGAAAUUCGUAGAUAUCGGGAGGAACACCAGUGGCGAAGGCGGCGACCUGGGCCAAUACUGACGCUGAGGUGCGAAAGCGUGGGGAGCAAACAGG
rnacentral:rRNA from 1 species